rnacentral:misc_RNA from 1 species
GCUACUACCGAUUGAAUGGUUUAGUGAGGACUCCUGAUUGGCGCCGGCGCCCCGGCAACGGAGCAGCGGACUGCCGAAAAGUUGUUCAAACUUGAUCAUUUAGAGGAAGUAAAAGUCGUAACAAGGUUUCCGUAGGUGAACCUGCAGAAGGAUCAAGAACGGAAGAGCGUCGGGUAGGGAAAGAAGGUAGAGCUCGGUGGUGGCCGUAUCAUUAAAAAAACAAAAAGAAGUACAAGAGAAGCGUAAGACGAACAACUACAUCGAUGCAACGCAUCAU